UGAGACCUGAUGCCGAGCCGAUUGUGGUGAAGUGGAUGAUCCUAUGCUGUCGAGAAAAGCCUCUAGCGAGUUUCAUGGCGGCCCGUACCCUAAACCGACUCAGGUGGUCAGGUAGAGAAUACCGAGGCGUUCGGGUGAACUAUGGUUAAGGAACUCGGCAAAAUGCCCCCGUAACUUCGGGAGAAGGGGGGCCACAACUGGUGAGAGCACUUGCUGCUCGAGCUGGGGGUGGCCGCAGAGACCAGCGAGAAGCGACUGUUUACUAAAAACACAGGUCCGUGCGAAGCCGUAAGGCGAUGUAUACGGACUGACGCCUGCCCGGUGCUGGAACGUUAAGGGGACCGGUUAGUCCAACUUCGGUUGGGCGAAGCUGAGAACUUAAGCGCCAGUAAACGGCGGUGGUAACUAUAACCAUCCUAAGGUAGCGAAAUUCCUUGUCGGGUAAGUUCCGACCUGCACGAAUGGCGUAACGACUUCUCGACUGUCUCAACCAUAGGCCCGGUGAAAUUGCACUACGAGUAAAGAUGCUCGUUUCGCGCAGCAGGACGGAAAGACCCCGGGACCUUUACUACAGUUUGAUAUUGGUGUUCGGUUCGGCUUGUGUAGGAUAGCUGGGAGACUGUGAAGCUUGGACGCCAGUUCAGGUGGAGUCGUCGUUGAAAUACCAGUCUGGUCGUGCUGGAUGUCUAACCUGGGUCCGUGAUCCGGAUCAGGGACAGUGUCUGAUGGGUAGUUUAACUGGGGCGGUUGCCUCCUAAAGAGUAACGGAGGCGCCCAAAGGUUCCCUCAGCCUGGUUGGCAAUCAGGUGUUGAGUGUAAGUGCACAAGGGAGCUUGACUGUGAGACCGACGGGUCGAGCAGGGACGAAAGUCGGGACUAGUGAUCCGGCGGUGGCUUGUGGAAGCGCCGUCGCUCAACGGAUAAAAGGUACCCCGGGGAUAACAGGCUGAUCUUCCCCAAGAGUCCAUAUCGACGGGAUGGUUUGGCACCUCGAUGUCGGCUCGUCGCAUCCUGGGGCUGGAGUCGGUCCCAAGGGUUGGGCUGUUCGCCCAUUAAAGCGGUACGCGAGCUGGGUUUAGAACGUCGUGAGACAGUUCGGUCCCUAUCCGCUGCGCGCGCAGGAAUAUUGAGAAGGGCUGUCCCUAGUACGAGAGGACCGGGACGGACGAACCUCUGGUGUGCCAGUUGUUCUGCCAAGGGCAUGGCUGGUUGGCUACGUUCGGGAGGGAUAACCGCUGAAAGCAUCUAAGCGGGAAGCCUGCUUCGAGAUGAGUAUUCCCACCCACUUGAUGGGGUAAGGCUCCCAGUAGACGACUGGGUUGAUAGGCCGGAUAUGGAAGCACGGUAACGUGUGGAGUUGACCGGUACUAAUAGGCCGAGGGCUUGUCCUC
rnacentral:rRNA from 1 species